AUCACAUCCAGUCACGACCAUUAGAUUGCAUUUGUAGCAUAUAUCACGGCUUGUAGAUAUACCUCUAGACAGCCUCUGCUACCUUGUCCCCGGCACAGUCAAUACAGGUGACAUCAGGUGGCGUUGAUUCAGUGUGCAUAUAGGUAUACCCCAUUCGCUCAGUAGAUGUUUUGUUUUCACUAGUGUCAUGCAUAGGAUAUGUCAGUCAUAGUUUAUACGGCAAUAGAUAUAGCAUCCACUUCCUGGCAUAUCACACGGUACCCCACGAUUUUCACCUUGCACUCUUGAUGGUAAUGCACUCAUGGUAAUUGUCAUGUUCACUCUGUAUAGUAUAAACUCGCAUGCAUAUGGUAAUCCUCCAGUUAGAGGCAGUGGGCUACGCUGCUUUCGCCCGCACGCACGCUAAAUUCAGGUACAUACAUGCGCUUACAUGGGGGCUACAUCGUUUAAAGUUCCUUUAUUUUCGGGACACACGUAGGUUUGUCACGCAUUUCAUAUACAGGUUGAUUUGGUUUUCAUGAGGUAGUAUCAGAUGGCACCGGAUGACAUGUAGUGUUUUUUAUCAUAGGUAAAGGUCAAGUCUAUGCUUGAGGUCUUGGUACUUAGCAAGCACGUCUUAUUGUUGUUUUCUUAGUUUAAGGUGUCGGUCAAGUGGUUGUGGCUACAUUACGCUGUUAGGCCCGCGAUAGAUUCGUGAUCAUUCAGGUAGGUUCUAGUCAGCAACAACUUGGCAAUCUGGAGUCAGUCAGCUUGCAGGUUCGACGUAUUCAAUUAAUUAAUCCUUGUCUGCAAGGUACCCAGCAGUUUCGGCGUGUAGCGGCCGGCAGGUUCUCGAGGUGCAGGAUCUGUGGUGGCAUAAGCAAUUUAGGUAUAGGUUGGCAGUCAUAGUGUCACAAGCGGCAGUCGGGCGGCAGCAAGCGAUAUAUCAUAUUGGUGUUCCCAGCAUCUGUUUUCAUGCUCAGGUGCAUAUCUGCCCACGGUAUUUUCAGUACGGACAUUCUACUGUCGGAGCAAUCUGCAUAAUUCAGGUUUCAGGUCAGGUUCCAAGCUAAGGAUUGGAUCAGCAUCGUAUCACCAUCCAUCAAUUUUUGGAGCAAGGGCGUUAGUCGUGUAAGUAAGCCAGUCAUCAGCCGCUGGAGGCUGGAGUGAGCAUUAGCAUUGAACGGUUGUCACAUAUAUUAUAUCUUUCCAGGUGGGGUUGUUAGUCAGCUGGUAUACAGGUAGAUAUAUAUGUUUUUGUUUCAUUUACCCAUCACGACUUUGGGUAAAAAAUCGUUUGCGUUAGCCGGCACCAGCCCAACACGUCCUUGGGCUCCCGAGGGCUGGCCACGUGUCACUAGUCACUGGUAUGUAUGGUUGCACCUUGGCACUAUGUCACAAAUUUGCAGAGGUCUGUCACGGCUUCAGACCUCACCGUGUUUUUCCCUGUUAGGUUGCUGACAGAGUCUAUUAGGGUAAGUCAUCUCGAUUCUUGUUAGUACGCCUGGUUGUUAGGGGCAUGGUAGUUGACAGCGCUGGUUGGUUAUGGUGCAGAUUUUUCUUUUUGGUAAUUGUGUAAUUUUUGCUAGGAUGUCGCACGCUUCGGAAAUCGAAGACACAGGUUCCUUGCUUGACAACACGGCUAGAACAUCGGAGCACGGUAGCAUCCCGUCUCUCCGUAGCUGGACCAUCCCGAAGUUGACAGCGGAGCUUGUGCGUAGGGGCAUCCCAUUCCCGGCCACUGCUCGUAAGGCGGAACUAUACCGGUUAUUGAUGUCAGACCAGGCGGGGCCUAGUGAUCAGGCGGGCUCCAGUACUGGGAUGGUGUCUAUGCAGACUCUUAAUACGUCUAUAAUGCAGCUGCAUACUCUGGUGAACUCCCUGUCCUCCAGGAUAGACAACUUGGAGAAUAGAGCUAGCGUUGCUCCGCUACCAGCAGU